rnacentral:lncRNA from 1 species
AGAGAGUUUGAGCAAGACAACGAAGUCGGACGACGACGACGUGGUUGACAAUUUUUGCCUGUCUUGCACAUUACCUUGCACAUUCUGAGUUUAGGGUCAGGGGUGAAGACAGAUUAGACAUGCAUGUCUAGCUGUUUGUGAAUGCUGACACAAAUCCUUACCCUGAUCAGGAUAAAACAGCGAGACAUGAAUCCAUAUCCCGUCUUCNNNNNNNNNNNNNNNNNNNNCAACGAAUAUUUUGGCAAAAUUCGUUGUGAACUUCGUUCUGCACGAAGGCAGAAGGACAAAGACGGUAUAUAGUUUCAUGUCUCGCUGUUUUUUUUCUGGAUCAGGGCAAGAAUUAUGGUCAGUAUUCAUAAACAGCGACACAUGGGAAGACACGUUGUGCAAACACCAGUGACGUCCAACUCAGUAUGCGCAAGAUAAUGUACAGGCGGCAAAUAUUGUCAAGUAUGCCUUCGUCUUCGUACUUCGUUUUUCUUGCUCAAACUCUCUAAUAUCAGCUUGACAACAACUUUGUUACAACUUGUUUGCAAGAUCUGCAACAACUUGUGUUUGUUGUUACAUUUGUAGACCAUUACAUUAGGCUUGGUACAUAUAAAUGAUAAACGCGAUGUUUGAACUGGCCUAGAACGUAAUAAAAGAAUGCAGGCUUUAGCAUUUUAGGUUCAAAUCGUCGAUAUGAAGCUAUUAUCGAAUAGAAUUGUCAGAUAUUGUGUAUUAUAUAAAUUAUUUAUCUCAAAGUUAAAUACGAGCACAAUUAUUAAAUAUUGUAUUAUUUAAAUAGAGAAUGUUAGCCGAAAGAGAGAAAAUAAAUUUUAACUCAGACAGUA